UACAGGGGGUGCAAACGUUGCUCGGAAUUAUUGGGCGUAAAGCGCGCGUAGGCGGCUACCUAAGUCGGAUGUGAAAGCCCCUGGCUCAACUGGGGAAGUGCACCCGAAACUGAGUAGCUAGAGUACGAAAGAGGGUCGCGGAAUUCCCGGUGUAGAGGUGAAAUUCGUAGAUAUCGGGAGGAACACCGGUGGCGAAGGCGGCGACCUGGGUCGAUACUGACGCUGAGGCGCGAAAGCGUGGGGAGCAAACAGG
rnacentral:rRNA from 1 species